AUGCGCGACGAGAUGCGCCUUUCAUACAUUCCGGCCAUGCUGAUGGCCACCAGCUUGCUACUCAUGGCUGCUUCAUCUCCUGCUCCGAGCAACAGCACCGACCUUGCGCCGCUGCUGGCUUUCAAAUCCCAGCUCUCCGACCCUUCGGCUACCAUUGCCAAUAACUGGACAACUUAUGCGUCCUUCUGCAGCUGGACCGGUGUGUCGUGCAGCCGCCGUCACCACCAGCGUGUCACUGCUUUGGAGCUGCCGGACAUUCCGCUUCAUGGAGAGCUCAGCCCUCACCUCGGUUUGCUGAAGGAAGAGGACAGGGUGAAGCUCCAGGCAGGUGUGAAGAGAUUGGCACAUGCUGCUGCGGCGCUGACGGACAGAUCCUUCCCUCGAGACAGGCUGCUCUUGAGAGACAGAGAUGGUUUGCAGAUUGGCUAG
rnacentral:rRNA from 1 species